rnacentral:tRNA from 1 species
GAUGGGAUAGCUCAGUUGGGAGAGCGUUAGAUUAAAGAUCUGAAGGUCACGUGUUUAAUCCACGUUCAUCG